ACCAAUUUGUUAGUAUACAGCACCAUUAUAUUGAGGCAUAUCACCCACUCAGCUCCAAAAAAGUUUUUGUAUUUCAUUCACUGAUUGUAUUUGUUUUUCUCGGCAUAUUUUUAUGUAGAAAGUUGUGAGAAAGCCAAGAAAAAUGCCAAGGCGAUAGAAGAGGACUCUUCAUUUUCCAGUGAUCCAGAAUGACAGCUGCAAAGCGGAGAUCGUUGUAGAAGGGUGGCCCUUAUAAAUGGAAAAAAGGCUAAAGAAUAACCAAGGACGUCGGACUGAAUCGCAGACAGCAGACGAAGAAGGCUUCACAGAGACAUUCUGUGAUUUAUUUGACAUUGCUCACCAGAUGCAUUGUCAUUAAUUACUGCUGAAGAAGACAAAGCCUUUCUGCUUGCACAACGUGAACAAGGCCGAAAGGGUGUCAUGGCAGGCGUGGAUGCAUCGUCGGUAAAGAAAAAAGCAGAACUGAACAUUAACCGGAUAAACGCUGUAAGUGGGAAGAAAAACAGAAAGCGGAACUAGAUUUGUUGAACCAAAGUAUUGCGCUCUCCUCAAGUCACUCUUAAUCUUUUUGGCCAAUUUCUGCAUUAUAGAAUCAGAAUGUAUACUCUCUGCAGUUUAAUCCAUUAGCAUCUGUGGUUUGUGUGAAUGUUGUCUAAAGACUGUAAUUGUCUAUUAUGGCUGUGUGAUAUGUCCAAACUCAUGUAACAUUCCAUUGGUAAA